rnacentral:rRNA from 1 species
CCUACGGGUGGCAGCAGUCGAGAAUCUUUCACAAUGGGGGAAACCCUGAUGGUGCGACGCCGCGUGGGGGAUUGAAGUUCUUCGGUUUGUAAACUCCUGUCAUGUGGGAGCAAAUUAGAAAGAUUGUACCACAAGAGGUUGAGACUGCUAACUCUGUGCCAGCAGCCGCGGUAAUACAGAGGUCUCAAGCGUUAUCCGGAAUCACUGGGCGUAAGGCGUGCGUUUGGGGUUUCGUAAGUCGUGGGUGAAAGGCCCGGGCUCAACCCGCGGACGGAACAUGAUACUGGGAGACUAGAGUGAGGGAGAGGGAACCGGAAUUCUAGGUGUAGCAGUGAAAUGCGUAGAUAUCGAGAGGAACAUCCGUGGCGAAGGCGAGUUCCUGGACAUUAACUGACGCUGAGGCACGAAGGCGAGGGGAGCAAAAGGGAUUAGAUACCCUAGUAGUC